rnacentral:rRNA from 1 species
UACGGGGGGGGGCAAGCGUUGUUCGGAAUUACUGGGCGUAAAGGGCUCGUAGGUGGUCAACUAAGUCGGACGUGAAAUCCCUCGGCUUAACCGGGGAACUGCGUCCGAUACUGGAUGACUUGAGUUCGGGAGAGGGAUGCGGAAUUCCAGGUGUAGCGGUGAAAUGCGUAGAUAUCUGGAGGAACACCGGUGGCGAAGGCGGCAUCCUGGACCGACACUGACGCUGAGGAGCGAAAGCCAGGGGAGCAAACGGGG